CAGUAGCCGCGGUAAAACGGAGGGUGCAAGCGUUAAUCGGAAUUACUGGGCGUAAAGGGCUCGUAGGUGGUUUGUUGCGUCGUCUGUGAAAUUCCGGGGCUUAACUCCGGGCGUGCAGGCGAUACGGGCAUAACUUGAGUACUGUAGGGGUAACUGGAAUUCCUGGUGUAGCGGUGAAAUGCGCAGAUAUCAGGAGGAACACCGAUGGCGAAGGCAGGUUACUGGGCAGUUACUGACGCUGAGGAGCGAAAGCAUGGGUAGCGAACAGGAUUAGAUACCCCCGUAGUCCCUGUCUCUUAUU
rnacentral:rRNA from 1 species